rnacentral:lncRNA from 1 species
CUUUUAAAGACCUCAAGUAUUUGGGAUCGACACCCCACUUGUUAAAGCCUGUUGAAGGUGAGAAAUUAUCUUUUCAGUCAUCUCACAGGCAAUCAGUUUGGUUCUCAUUCAAGAAGAAGCUAAUGUACAAAAACUGAUAUAUUACACCAAUAAAGUUCUAAGAGAUGUAGAAAUCUGAUACGUGAGAAUUGAAAAGAUAAUUUAUGCAAUUGUCAUAGCCAAUAAGCA